UACGUAGGGGGCAAGCGUUAUCCAGAUUUACUGGGUGUAAAGGGGGCGCAGACGGCGAUGCAAGCCAGGAGUGAAAGCCCGGGGCCCAACCCCGGGACUGCUCUUGGAACUGCGUGGCUGGAGUGCAGGAGGGGCAGGCGGAAUUCCUGGUGUAGCGGUGAAAUGCGUAGAUAUCAGGAGGAACACCGGUGGCGAAGGCGGCCUGCUGGACUGCAACUGACGUUGAGGCCCGAAAGCGUGGGGAGCAAACAGG
rnacentral:rRNA from 1 species